GAUGAACGCUGGCGGCGUGCCUAAUACAUGCAAGUCGAGCGAACGGACGAGAAGCUUGCUUCUCUGAUGUUAGCGGCGGACGGGUGAGUAACACGUGGAUAACCUACCUAUAAGACUGGGAUAACUUCGGGAAACCGGAGCUAAUACCGGAUAAUAUUUUGAACCGCAUGGUUCAAAAGUGAAAGACGGUCUUGCUGUCACUUAUAGAUGGAUCCGCGCUGCAUUAGCUAGUUGGUAAGGUAACGGCUUACCAAGGCAACGAUGCAUAGCCGACCUGAGAGGGUGAUCGGCCACACUGGAACUGAGACACGGUCCAGACUCCUACGGGAGGCAGCAGUAGGGAAUCUUCCGAAAUGGGCGAAAUCCUGACGGAGCAACGCCGCGUGAGUGAUGAAGGUCUUCGGAUCGUAAAACUCUGUUAUUAGGGAAGAACAUAUGUGUAAGUAACUGUGCACAUCUUGACGGUACCUAAUCAGAAAGCCACGGCUAACUACGUG
rnacentral:rRNA from 1 species